UACGUAGGCAGCGAGCGUUGUUCGGAAUUACUGGCGUAAAGAGUGUGUAGGCGGUGCUCUAAGUUCGGUGUGAAAUCUCCUGGCUCAACUGGGAGGGUGCGCCGGAAACUGGAGUGCUUGAGCGUGGGAGAGGAAGCGGAAUUCCUGGUGUAGCGGUGAAAUGCGUAGAUAUCAGGAGGAACACCUGUGGUGUAGACGGCUUUCUGGACCAUAGCUGACGCUGAGACACGAAAGCGUGGUAGCAAACAGG
rnacentral:rRNA from 1 species